AACCCAUAGUUAGGGCACCUUCUCAAUAAGUCCUUGUAUCUCUCUCAUGCAUCAUAAAGAGUUUCUAGAUCCAUCUGCACAAAAGAAGAGAUAUCUUUCCUCAAUUU
rfam:Gossypium arboreum cultivar AKA8401 contig_30911_5, whole genome shotgun sequence.